rnacentral:rRNA from 1 species
UACGUAGGGCGCAAGCGUUGUCCGGAAUUAUUGGGCGUAAAGAGCUCGUAGGCGGCUUGUCGCGUCGGUUGUGAAAACCCGGGGCUCAACCCCGGGCCUGCAUUCGAUACGGGCAGACUAGAGUUCGGUAGGGGAGUCUGGAAUUCCUGGUGUAGCGGUGAAAUGCGCAGAUAUCAGGAGGAACACCGGUGGCGAAGGCGGGACUCUGGGCCGAUACUGACGCUGAGGAGCGAAAGCGUGGGGAGCAAACAGG